rnacentral:rRNA from 2 species
CGAGCUCUCCCAAAUUGAUUUUAUGCUUGCAUAAAUGAUUUUUGGAUUCGGAGCGAGUGGCGAACUGGUGAGUAACACGUGGGUAACCUGCCCCGAAGCGGGGGAUAACAUUUGGAAACAAGUGCUAAUACCGCAUAAUUAGUUGGAACCGCAUGGUUCCAACUUGAAAGAUGGCUCUGCUAUCACUUUGGGAUGGACCCGCGCCGUAUUAGUUAGUUGGUGAGAUAAAAGCCCACCAAGACGAUGAUACGUAGCCGACCUGAGAGGGUAAUCGGCCACAUUGGGACUGAGACACGGCCCAGACUCCUACGGGAGGCAGCAGUAGGGAAUCUUCCACAAUGGACGAAAGUCUGAUGGAGCAACGCCGCGUGAGUGAUGAAGGUUUUCGGAUCGUAAAACUCUGUUGUUAAAGAAGAACAAGUGUUAGAGUAACUGUUAACACUUUGACGGUAUUUAACCAGAAAGCCACGGCUAACUACGUGCCAGCAGCCGCGGUAAUACGUAGGUGGCAAGCGUUGUCCGGAUUUAUUGGGCGUAAAGCGAGCGCAGGCGGUUUUGUAAGUCUGCUGUGAAAGCCCUCAGCUCAACUGAGGAAGUGCAGUGGAAACUACAAAACUUGAGUACAGAAGAGGAAAGUGGAACUCCAUGUGUAGCGGUGAAAUGCGUAGAUAUAUGGAAGAACACCAGUGGCGAAGGCGGCUUUCUGGUCUGUUACUGACGCUGAGGCUCGAAAGCAUGGGUAGCGAACAGGAUUAGAUACCCUGGUAGUCCAUGCCGUAAACGAUGAAUACUAGGUGUUGGAGGGUUUCCGCCCUUCAGUGCCGCAGCUAACGCAUUAAGUAUUCCGCCUGGGGAGUACGACCGCAAGGUUGAAACUCAAAGGAAUUGACGGGGGCCCGCACAAGUGGUGGAGCAUGUGGUUUAAUUCGAUGCUACGCGAAGAACCUUACCAGCUCUUGACAUCUUCUGCCAACCCAAGAGAUUGGGCGUUCCCUUCGGGGACAGAAUGACAGGUGGUGCAUGGUUGUCGUCAGCUCGUGUCGUGAGAUGUUGGGUUAAGUCCCGCAACGAGCGCAACCCUUAUUAUUAGUUGCCAGCAUUUAGUUGGGCACUCUAGUGAGACUGCCGGUGAUAAACCGGAGGAAGGUGGGGACGACGUCAAAUCAUCAUGCCCCUUAUGAGCUGGGCUACACACGUGCUACAAUGGAUGGUACAACGAGUCGCGAAACCGCGAGGUCAAGCUAAUCUCUUAAAGCCGUUCUCAGUUCGGAUUGCAGGCUGCAACUCGCCUGCAUGAA